AAAACGGUGUACUGUAUACUUUAAC
rnacentral:piRNA from 1 species